rnacentral:lncRNA from 1 species
UCUGAAAUAAUUGCUUGACCAAAGCAUAUAUAUUUAUUGGCCAAAAGUUGCCCGAGCUGCUCAGAGGUGAAAGCCCCUCGACCUAAACUUUAGUCACAUUGUUGUGUGUGUUCAUUUAGCACAGUUAGGUUCGACAUCUUCACUACGUCCAUUUGACAACAUAGGGUAAAAUCAACAAGAAAGUAGAAGGUUUCGAGGAAAAUCCUCAUUCUCUUGAAAUGUGUCAAUGAGGGUAGUAAGCUAAAAUAAGAACCAUGUAAAUUUUCCUUUUUAAAUACUUCAGAUCAACUUUGACUUUUGAACAUAACAUAGUAUCUUCAUUGAAUGGUUGAAACAGGACAAACCGAUUUAGUCGUGAACAUGAUGAAAUGAUUUAUAUUAAAGGACCUUGUUACAAACAGUCAAUUUUUUCUUUUGAAGUGGUGAAGAUGGGUUUUGAUCUCUGGGC